UACGGAGGGGGCAAGCGUUGUUCGGAUUUACUGGGCGUAAAGGGUCCGUAGGCGGUUGUGUAAGUCUGGUGUGAAAUCUUCGCCGCUUAACGGGAAGCAGCCACUGGAAACUGCAUAACUUGAGUCUGGUAGAGGCAAGCGGAAUUCCUGGUGUAGCGGUGGAAUGCGCAGAUAUCAGGAGGAACACCGGUGGCGAAGGCGGGUCUCUGGGCCGAUACUGACGCUGAGGAGCGAAAGCGUGGGGAGCAAACAGG
rnacentral:rRNA from 1 species